GACCUAAUAGCGAAGCCGGUAUCGUGUCCACUGCCCUUUCAUUAUUUGGAUUAUCAAGUGUGUGGAAGUCCCUCGUUCGAAUCGAGGUUAGGUCA